GACGAACGCUGGCGGCGUGCGUAACACAUGCAAGUCGAACGGAAAGGCCCUGCUUGCAGGGUACUCGAGUGGCGAACGGGUGAGUAACACGUGGGUGAUCUGCCCUGCACUUCGGGAUAAGCCUGGGAAACUGGGUCUAAUACCGGAUAGGAGCCAUUUUUAGUGUGAUGGUUGGAAAGUUUUUUCGGUGUAGGAUGAGCUCGCGGCCUAUCAGCUUGUUGGUGGGGUAAUGGCCUACCAAGGCGGCGACGGGUAGCCGGCCUGAGAGGGUGGACGGCCACAUUGGGACUGAGAUACGGCCCAGACUCCUACGGGAGGCAGCAGUGGGGAAUAUUGCACAAUGGGCGCAAGCCUGAUGCAGCGACGCCGCGUGGGGGAUGACGGCCUUCGGGUUGUAAACUCCUUUCGCUAGGGACGAAGCUUUUUGUGACGGUACCUAGAGAAGAAGCACCGGCUAACUACGUG
rnacentral:rRNA from 1 species